rnacentral:tRNA from 1 species
UCCUCCGUGGCGCAAUUGGCUAGCGCGUCUGACUGUUACGGGAGCUCGUCUUCGUGCAAUCAGGAGGUUGACAGUUCAAGCCUGUCCGGGGGAG